UUUCCGUAGGUGAACCUGCGGAAGGAUCAUUACCAAAUCCAAAAUCCUUUUACCAAACCACAAAAGCAGGGCGGCAACUUCCGCAUGGAAGCGGUCGCUCUGAUGGUCAACCGGUAUCAUUCCCCUCCUUCACCGGGUUGGGAAGUAAGUCUGUGGUGGGUGUCUUUCUCUCUCAGAGAGAGACCCCACUCAUUCUUGUUUUUUGUUUGUUUCCUUCCUGCUUUCGUCCUCUCGGACGGGCGGGAAGCCCAAACAAAAACAAGGCCAAACAGACCUACGCACAUCUACAAAAACCCUGUACGAACACCACUUUGGACGGAAACGCCCAAAAACCGCCACUGCGUUUCAUUCUUUUCUCUCCUUCCCAAGGCGCAAGCCCGAACGAGGACAGAAAACAAAAGCAAAUGAAAACAACUUUUAACGGUGGAUCUCUUGGCUCGU
rnacentral:misc_RNA from 1 species